ACACUAAAAUUCGAUAAUUUAUUCUUCGCGGAUCUAGGUUUCAAGUAUUCCACAUAAACAAGCACAGUUUCGUUAAGUAAUUUGCUCGGUAAUAUAUUACAUUAAGAUUUGAUUGGAGCGAGCAACGCGCAUCGUUUCCUUGCUCGAUUUAUACUGCAAGUCAACUGUUACGUAAUAUCAGCGAAUAUUAAUAGGACUACAUUUAUGAGCCGUUACACUCUCGCUAUCUCUGCUAUUCCAUACCGGUGAGCAUGCUCGCAAUAUAAAUACAGUAUACUACCAACUUUUUUAUAUUACAGACUAUGCAAAUCGACAAAUGCAGAAUUACUGAUUGAAAGAUGCCUGUAUUGCGGUGAACGAACAAAGCCCAGAUUACCCGUAUGAGCAAGUGAAUGCUGAUAAUUUACUGCAACGAGUUCUACGUGCAAGUUGAUCAAGGACGAUAUUUGAAAGAGUCUACGAUUCACCAUUCACGAGUCACGGAGUCACGACUGAACGUAAUAAAGAAAAACAAUCUUUGACUAUGCCUGUUGAUAUAAUUAUCUAAUACAAGUCAGGUCUCUAAGGCUAAAAUGAAGAAGGCAUGGAGAAAGGAAAACACUAGAAUUAUUGGUACAACAGGUGAAACGAAUGUUCCAUACUGGCUGGAAACUGUAUAGUAUUUCUGCAAUGGCUGCAGUCACCGGCGGGAAGGUGUGCCUUUAAUCUGUGCGUGCAUUCCACAUCUCGCGACUAGCGAAACGACUCUUACUUUGCCGUGGGAGCCACUCGAAAGGCCUUCGAAGGCUGCUUCGAUCGUUCUUCGCCUUUGAACUUUCGAACCCUCCUUCCUCCGUGCACAUGACACGAGUCUGCCCGGUAUGCAUCAUGACUGCUGACUGCAUUGGAUAUUUGAUCGGAACAGAAAUUGUGAGAGUAUCGAGAUUGACUUGAGGACUUUGGAGUCUGGGGUGGAGCGAGAGGUGAGGUCAGAAGGAGAAGGAAGAGAAUAACCGUUAACGGGACCCUCCUAUUGAGUGUCCAUC